AACCCGAAAAUCCGAAAACCCGAAAAACCCGACCCGAAUGCCAACGGGUACCCGAACGCCCAUGCCUACGAUAGAGUUUGUAAAUAGAAAAACAUAACAAAAACGUUAUGUUUGUCUUUUUGAAUCUAAACCCUAAACAAGUUUUUUUAACCCUACACUCUAAACACAAACUUUAAAUUCUAAUAUUUUAACAUCAAAUCUUUUGUUUAACCUCAAAUAUUAAUAGAACUCAAAAUGAUUUAUUUUAAAAAAAAAUUAGUCUCAUAUCUCAAUAGUCAAUACCCCAAACAUUUAACCCUAAAACCAUAUACUCAAACCUCUAUUCUAAAUUCCAAACUUUAUAUCAAAGUUCUAAAUAGAAUUUUUUCAAACUUAAAUCCAAUUCUUAAAAUACAUUCAAACUUUAACUUAGAAUCUUAAACCCAAACUCUAAACCUUAUAUACUCAAAUCUGUUUUUUUAUAUACUCAAAUCUUAAAUCAUAAUAAACCUCAAACCUUCAAAUUUAGACCUUUAAACUAAUUUCAUUUUACAUUUAAACUAAAUCAUUAUAUUCUAAAAUAUGAUGAUUAAAAAAUUUGGACUUGGACUAAUGGUUCUCUCUACGAACCACACGAUCUUCUUCUGCAUCUCGAAGGUCUUCUUUUGGAUCUUAAAGUUAUGAUCCACUAAUCUGUUUUCUGAUUGGUCAAUGUGGGGUGACAAAGAUCUUUACUUUCAACUUUUGAUUUGUGUUCAUCCAAGGGCCACAGUUGAUUAAUCAAUUGUUUUCUAAUUUUUUUCUCUGACUCAGAUUUUCUUCUUUCCUUUCAAUUUUGUUCUUCAUUCAUAGGCCAUCACCAUCUUUCUCUUCUUCUUUUUUUGUCUCUUCGCAUCUCUCUUUCUUAUUCUCUAAACCACCACCACCAUCUCUUCUUAUUCUUACUCUUCUUCAUAUGGCGGUUGACUCCGAGGAAGGACGAAUGAGAAGAGAAGAUAACAUGGUCGAUAUCUGGAAAUCCAAGAGUAAGAGAGCUUUUUCUCAAGAAGCGUCGUGAAGGUCUUCAAUCCACACAGAAACUUAAAUAAGUUUCUUCUCCAUUGCUUCUGAUUCAUCCAUCGAGAAUAAGUUGGAGAGCUUGCUGUCUAUAGUUGGUGGUGUAUGGUCAGAGAAUAGAAGCUUGAAGAUUGAGACAAAGGUGUGGCGGAUAGGAUAGAUAAACCGGAGACGAAUAUGACGGUUGUGUAUGUGACGAGCUUAGCAGUGGUGAGCCGAAGACGAGCUCGACGACAGUGAGUGGGAAGAGUCGUGGUGAUUUCGUCGCCGUCUCCCACUUCGAAGGAAAAAAGAGAGAGACGCGAGGACUUGGUCGUCACAGCGAAUGGUGGUUGACGGCGGCGGAGUUAAGAAGCUUGAAGGCGGCGUGGUUUGUUAUUAGGUUUAGUUAGCAAAUAGGUUUAGGUUUAAGCUUGGUUUACUUUUGGUUUAUUUUUUUACAUGUAAACCAGUUUUAGUUUAUGAAUAAUUCAAUUUAAAAUUUAAAAAAAAAUUAUAUUUUAUUUUAUUUUUCAAUAAUGUAAUAAUAACAAAAAAAUAUACGACUAUUAAAGAAUA